CAGCUGAGCUGCUAAUCAGAUAUUUAUAAAGUGUAACUCCUGCUCACUCAAGAUUACACAGUAAGUAACUGUCAAGUACAACUGAAUCAAAUAAAAGUUUCAAGAUGCGCCUGGCAGCUUUAUUACAGAUUUUUGUGCUCUUCGUUGCAAUUUUUGGACUGGCUUCUGCAUUCGAGCAUGGAACUCAUAAAAAAACUCACAAACGGGGUCGAUCAGGACAUGAUCAUCCAGAGCAAUUCUUAGGUGGAGUUCUGUCAAUUUUCUCAGAUCUUGCUGGUUAGUUCUACAAAAUCAGCAUUGCAAGAAUGAAAUAAUAAAAUCCUGUAAUAAUAAGAUAUAUUGCAUAAAUAAAAGUUAUGUAACAGAAA